rfam:Roseovarius halotolerans strain CECT 8110 genome assembly, contig: 0003
AAUCGGCGGCGUGGCGAUUUGUUACCGGAUUGCGGGCCACGUAAAACAACUCCGCUAAAGAGGUCAGGAUGAAAGCCCC